GAGGCAGAAGUUGGCUCUGUGGCCUAACAGCUCUGGAGUUUUUCGCUCUUAUCUCGGAUUAGGUUUGGCGAAACUCUUUGCAGUUCCCGCUUCUCGGUAGAGACGUAACAGAGAUGCAAUGCUGCGUAAGAAGUGGUUACUAAGAGAGCUUCGUUCGCAAUAGAAGCAUUGACAGGUA